CGGAGAUGCCGGGAGGUCAGGGCAGGGGGGACAUCUUUCGCCACCCGCCCCCCACCCUCACGUAGUGCCGGCACCCGGCUUUUCCAGCCAGGGUUUCCCAGGCUGUGGGUUAAUCACCUCGGGAAUUAAUUUGGCCCCCAAAUCCCGCCUUUCCUCACUCCCCUUUUCCCCUUUCAGCCGGAUCAGCGCCCCGAGCAGCCCAGCCCCAGGGAAAGGAGCCCCACGCAGAGCCAGGAGUGGUGAAACGCAGUGAGUUCUGCCUUUCUGCCCAUCGCAGGGGUCCAGCCAGGUCAGGAUCCGGCUGCUCUGGUUCCCAUCCGGGGCAGCAGCCGAGUGGCAAGCACCAAGUCGUUGGUCUCGAACAUGAGGACGUCCUGGAUGCCGAGGUCCUGCCGGCACCACUGGAUGAAGUUGGAGACGUUAUCCCGGGCGAUGAAGGAACCCGGCAC